rnacentral:rRNA from 1 species
GGGUUUUUUAUUUUAUACUUCAAAUCUUGAAUUUAUUUUUUAUGUUUUUUAAAUGUUUAUUUUUUUGAAUGUUUGAUUUAAAAAAAUAUAAAAAAUAAAAUAGAUAUUGACAUGGAUUAAACAAAGAUAUAUAUUAUUCUAUGUUGCAUAAACAAAUUGGCCAAAGUAGAGAUGGAAGAUAAAAAUAUGGU